rnacentral:rRNA from 1 species
GCCGCGUGAGUGAUGAAGGUUUUCGGAUCGUAAAGCUCUGUUGUUAGGGAAGAACAAGUACCGUUCGAAUAGGGCGGUACCUUGACGGUACCUAACCAGAAAGCCACGGCUAACUACGUGCCAGCAGCCGCGGUAAUACGUAGGUGGCAAGCGUUGUCCGGAAUUAUUGGGCGUAAAGGGCUCGCAGGCGGUUUCUUAAGUCUGAUGUGAAAGCCCCCGGCUCAACCGGGGAGGGUCAUUGGAAACUGGGGAACUUGAGUGCAGAAGAGGAGAGUGGAAUUCCACGUGUAGCGGUGAAAUGCGUAGAGAUGUGGAGGAACACCAGUGGCGAAGGCGACUCUCUGGUCUGUAACUGACGCUGAGGAGCGAAAGCGUGGGGAGCGAACAGGAUUAGAUACCCUGGUAGUCCACGCCGUAAACGAUGAGUGCUAAGUGUUAGGGGGUUUCCGCCCCUUAGUGCUGCAGCUAACGCAUUAAGCACUCCGCCUGGGGAGUACGGUCGCAAGACUGAAACUCAAAGGAAUUGACGGGGGCCCGCACAAGCGGUGGAGCAUGUGGUUUAAUUCGAAGCAACGCGAAGAACCUUACCAGGUCUUGACAUCCUCUGACAAUCCUAGAGAUAGGACGUCCCCUUCGGGGGCAGAGUGACAGGUGGUGCAUGGUUGUCGUCAGCUCGUGUCGUGAGAUGUUGGGUUAAGUCCCGCAACGAGCGCAACCCUUGAUCUUAGUUGCCAGCAUUCAGUUGGGCACUCUAAGGUGACUGCCGGUGACAAACCGGAGGAAGGUGGGGAUGACGUCAAAUCAUCAUGCCCCUUAUGACCUGGCUACACACGUGCUACAAUGGACAGAACAAAGGGCAGC